AUCCCACAAGAAACCGCUUCUGGGCCCAUACACCAGGGCACCGGCCACAGUCCUGUGGCACCAAGGACUGGACCCCAGCGGGUCCCUGCACCCUAGCCGGAUGGCCCUGUUCUGGGGAGGAGGUGCUCGCCUGACUCCAUCGGUUGACACCAGGGAGGGAGGCUGGAGGCACUGCUGGGCUGAGGUCACCCCAGGGCUGGCAGAUGAGGGCCAGGAGGGACAGAUCAAGUGGGGCGUGAAGGCUUUGGUGGUGGGAGGGGCCCACGGUGAUGGGGCAGGGCUUGUGUAGAAUGGGGGCUUUGGUUCCCCACAGGCCAGGACAGCCGAGAGGGACUGGAGGGUCCCCAGGGGAGCAGAUGUCAGGCCUGGGGAGCACGUGGGUCACACAGCAGUGCUGGGGCAGGUGUCUCUGCUGCCAUGUCCAUAUGACAGGCAGAGCAAGGCCAGUGGGGCCAUCACUGCCAGGGCCAACCCUGGCAGUGGCUGGGAGAUGCCUGGAUGGAGGGAGAGGCUGACCAAGGUCCCCAUGGGGUGGGCUGCAGCUUUUCCAUUGAUCCUGGAACGUAGCUGUUGUGUUGAGAGGGAAAGAAAAUUGAGAAGAAAAAAUCAGGGGCCGCAGGUCCUGCAGUGAGACAGAUGCAGGAGGCAGGAACCUGGCCCAGGGGUUGCUGGCACCUUGCUGGGGCUGGGAGGAGGCUGGGGGAGGCAGGCGGCCUGGGGGCCAGGGGCUGCAGGGAGUCCCCAGGUGGUUUUGAGGCUUGCUUUUGCAUGGUGCCUGAGAGGAGGCAGGUACCAUCCUGGGCACUGGAGAUGAGGGAACACCUGUGUGGAGAGGGCAUGGUGGGCAGCCCGGAGACAGCAGCUCAUGAGGACACAGGGCGGCAGUGCCACGAGGACAGGGAGGGCCCCGGGAAAGGAUGGCCUUGGAUCAGGGGCUCACCACAAGCCUAGCAUUUCAGCCAGGGGUGGAAGAGGCAGGGAUGCCUGGUUGCCAGGCAGAGGGCGCAGCUAUGUAAAUGCCCCAGGGCAGGAUGGCGCCCGGUGUGUGUGAGGGGCAAAGUGAGGAGGGCAGGGCAGGCAGUGUCUGGUGGGCCUCAGGGAAGACUUGGGCGCUCACCCCAAGUGAGUUGGGGACCCUGGGUGUGUGCCCUGGGAAAGGCAGGGUCGGCUCUGUGGGGACCUGACGCAGGGGCAGAGGAAGCCGAUACCAGGGUGCAGGCUCUGCCCCCACCCAGGCCGGAUUCGACCCAAGACGGGGCCCUCUGGCUGAGGAGGGGCAGGGCAGGAGGGUUCUGGAUGUUUCCUGGUUUUUGUUGUAUGAUUUUUUUUAUUGUGGUAAAAUAUACACAAAAUCCACCAUCUUACAGUAAGCAGUUCUGUGGCUGUGCAGCCAUCGCCUCUGAUUCCAGAACAUUCUCAUCACCCAAAAGGCAGCCCCGUCCCUAUCACAUCACCUAGGCACCCCUGGGUCCCCCUCCCCAGUCCCGGCACCCAUGAAUCCUCUCCGUGCUGCUGUGGUUCAGCCUGUCCUAGACAUUUCUUAUAAAUGGGAUCACGGUGUGCCCUUCUGAGGGCUCGCUGAGCAUGACGUCCUCAAGGUGCAUCCGUGCUGUGGCCCGGGUCAGAGCCUCACUCCUCCUUGUGGCUGAGACUCGUUCUGGUGUGUGGGUGGCCGUGCGUUGCUGAUCCCCUCACCCUCAGUGGGUGUUUGCAUGGUCUCUGCCUUGGGCUGUCGUGAAUCGUGCUGCGUGAGGCACCGCGUACCGGUCUCAUCCUGAGUGUAUUUUCCAAAGGAACUGCAUGCGAGUGGCUGAGGAGGGGUUGGGGCAUCAGGUACCUGCGCGGGCGUUGCCUCCUGGAUGGGAGGUGCACGAGGAGACAGAAGCCCCUCAAGGGGGUGUGGUGAUGGGGAGGCUAGGCCCCCGGCGGGUGGGGGGGUCGCGUGGAACUGGAGGCGCAGAGCUGGGGGCUUAUGGCCACAGACCUCACCUGGCACUGGUCCUGGCCUGGCCUGCCCACACUGCGUCACGCUCUGUCAGAUAUUGCCAACAACUUUCCAGCCUCCCCUUCCUUGGGGCUGCCUCACCCUGCAGUUGGGAGGAAGGAGUGGUCAGCGCGGUUGCCGGGACACUGGGCGGCCUUUAUGCUGUCAGCGGUGGCCUCAGAGGCCUUCCUGGCAGGAGCCCUGGGGACUCAGGAAGACAGGCAGACAUGCAGACCCUGAGGCGAGAGGCUGCCGGGCCCUAUGUCCCCACGGGGACCCUCGAGACCAGCUUCCCAGCACCUCUCUACAGCGAUGACUACCUGUCCCUGGAGGGGCCACGCUGGGCACCGGCCAUCAAGCAGGCCACACGCUGGAAGUACACGCCCAUGGGACACGACGCAGCCGGCCAGCUGUGGUACACGGGCUUGACCAACUCGGACUCCCGGGAAGCCUGGUACAACCUGCCCUCAGCCCUGGACCGCCCCUUCCGUGAGGCCUACAACCGCUGGCACGGCUGCUACCGACACCGCGAAUGCAGCCUGCCCUCGGCCUACACCCAGCACCUGCGGGAGACUGCCUGGCAUGACCCCAUCGUCCCCGCCCAGUACCUGGACCCCAGCACCCGGUGGGGGAGCAUGCUGUGGAAAGACAGGCCAAUCCGGGGCAAGGACUACGGACCAGGGUGCAGUUACUCAGCCAAGCAGUGUCCAGGCUGCAACCCAAAAGUCUGAGAACCCAGAGACUCAGAAGCCAGGAUUCAGGAAUAAUUCUUCCCCAGACGCCGGGUGGCUGCAAGGCAAGGGCUCCCUGGUCUAGAAGCCUAGACAGGCGGGGACCUCCCUUUCUGAAAGUAGGAACCAUGCCCCCCUCAAAGCCACGUGAGCACAGCAGGAGGUCAGCUGACAAAGUGCCUGCACACAGGAAGUGGCCAGGGCCCUGGGUAUUGGGAAACCCCUGUCGUUAGUGCCUGCAUCUGUCUCACAGCCAUAAUGGGGAACUGAAAGCCAGGGGAGGAGGCAGGGGGGCAAACAGUGGGCUCCCCCUACACUGCCUUCCUGAUGAAGGCACUGUGGGGACCCUGGCUUUGGGCACCAUUUGGGGCCGUGUCCUCCUCUGGAAUACGAGGGAAGGAACAGUUCCCACCUCCCAUUCCCUAGGGAGGGUUAAAGAAGCUGAGAUUCAAGGGGCGGCGCAGUGGCUCACUCCUAUAAUCCCAGCAGUUCAGGAGCCUGAGGAAGGCAGAUCACCUGAGGUCAGCAGUUCAAGACCAGCCUGGCCAACAUGGUGAAACCC